UGGGGAAUAUUGGGCAAUGGAGGAAACUCUGACCCAGCAACGCCGCGUGGAGGAAGAAGGUUUUCGGAUCGUAAACUCCUGUCCUUGGAGACGAGUAGAAGACGGUAUCCAAGGAGGAAGCCCCGGCUAACUACGUGCCAGCAGCCGCGGUAAUACGUAGGGGGCAAGCGUUGUCCGGAAUAAUUGGGCGUAAAGGGCGCGUAGGCGGCUCGGUAAGUCUGGAGUGAAAGUCCUGCUUUUAAGGUGGGAAUUGCUUUGGAUACUGUCGGGCUUGAGUGCAGGAGAGGUUAGUGGAAUUCCCAGUGUAGCGGUGAAAUGCGUAGAGAUUGGGAGGAACACCAGUGGCGAAGGCGACUAACUGGACUGUAACUGACGCUGAGGCGCGAAAGUGUGGGGAGCAAACA
rnacentral:rRNA from 1 species